CAGUAUUUUUUCCAAACUUAGAGUUUUGAAAGAUUUUUGAUUGUUACUGGCUUGCUCAGUUAUAUCCAACCUUAAGAUAUGUUUUCAUGAUCAAAACUUAACUUCUUCUGAAUUCUAAUUUCUAAUUUCUAAAUUCUAAUAUCUUGAAUAUGAUACUGCCCCAUCUCCCUUGUAUUUUCCCUUGCUCAUGUGGAGGAUAUAUGUGAAACGCUAGCUACAAACGUGACUACAAGCACUGGAGAUUUCCAUAUUUAAAAGGUUAUUUAUAUUAUGUGUUCCCUUUUUUGAAUUUUAAUCCACGCUAUGAAAGUUACAUAUGUCCUGUUUGCAACAGUGCACCAUUCCAGAAAGAAAAAUAUAGAGAUACUGGGAAAAUCCAAACAUUUGCUAAUAUUUUACUCCUACUGGUAGAAUGAUGACAUUCCACUGAAAAUCGUUGUUAGAAAUAUUAUUUUAAUGAGUUGCAAUUUAGGUUACUUAUUGUCAUGUGGUUAUGGCGCAUGUUGUAAUGUCAGGUAUGCUUAUGUAUUCUAAGGACAGUAAUGUGCUCAGGAGUUGACUGUGCUUGAAUGCAGCUGCCAUUUUAAUACACUGAAGUGUCUGCUCAUGUAUCUGCAUAUGUAGUAGGUUAUUGAAGGCUUAGGGGCAGCAGAUAGAAAUGGAUAAAGAAUAUACUAUAAGAUCGCAAAACUCUUCUGCCUCUAUUUGAAAAUUAGGAUGAGGGAACUUCAAUCAAAAUGCAAAUGUGCUGGAAGAAGGCAGUAGUUUCUUCUCUAAACAGGCAUGUGCAUGGGAAAAAGAGUCAGGAGGGUUUUGUUUGCUUUCCAGCAACUGAAGCUUGUAAUGUUUCCCAGAAUGCCUAGAAUCUUUAUAUACAAAUAUGGGCAUAGGCUUUAUUCUUUGAAUCCUAUUUUAAGCUUACUGCUAAGUCCAAAUAUACACGGAAGAGCUGAUGGGAAUUUCUAACGUCUUGAAGACAGCAAAAAUAAAUAAAUAAAUAAAUAAAUAAUAAAAAAAAUUAACCAUUCUAGCUCUGCUGUGGACAGAGAAUUUAUUUCUCUUUACUGAAGUGCCCUGAACAGAAGACACUAUUUUAACCAAACAUUGAACUCGAAGAAGACAUUAAUAACAUAAGGGUGCAUAUCCAAACCAAAAAUAUGUAUAUAAACAGCUACUGUGAAAGGGUAUUUAUGUAGCUAGUCAAGAUGUAAUAUAUGAUUUCUGCAGGAACAGUAAGAGACAACUAAUUUCAGUAUCAUCUGUUUUGUAUGUAGUGUGUAUGCAAAGUCGGGUCUUGUGCACAAACACUUUGUGUAUGAUUGAAUAUUAGUGUUCUACCAUUAGCACAGUAAGUCAGCGUGCAGGGGAUCUGAGACACAAGUGGAUUUGAAGCAACACAGCAACUAACAACAGAAACCUCAGUGGUGCUGCAAAACCUCUCAAGAGCUGGUGAUUGGAUGAUAUAAAACAAAGCCUCAGUCAUAACUUGCCAUUUACACCUAUCCGUGCUGUAAUUGAGUGAAAAGAGCUCACUGAAGGUUUCUCCUUGUACCACUGCUGUGUUCUUCCCUCAGUGUAACAUCCCUCUGUGCUAAUGUGGGCAUGUUCUACAAGAGGAAAAGGAAAGACAGCGGAGAGGAAAACACUUCUUGUCUUGAGUAAAAGAUCUGUCAGGUACUCGUCCCUAUCCUGACUCCUUGACCAUAUGGAGAGGAUUGCAGCAGUCAGCUGGGAUGUGAGAACUAAUCUUCCUGCUGUUGUCAGCAGUCAAGCGCAUGCACUGGAUGUAGGGUACUAAGGAAGAGUAAUAAUGAAAGAGGUGGCAAUAUGUUUUGGAUCAUGUAGGGUAAGGCAUGACUCCAAGUUCCUUACAGUGGAGGAGAUGGGCUCUCUGGUUCUGAAAAACAUUUUCCAAAACAUACAGAAGAUGAAUAUCUGCUGGUUACCUAUUGGAGUUUGGGUUCAGUGCCUAAGGCACAGUAACAUAGAAAUUCCAGAUGUUACCUCCAAGAAAGAUAAAAUCAUGAAGCCACCCUUCACACUCAUCUCCUGAGACUUCAGGUUGAUGUUUUGCAUUUAGAUGAACCAGCAGAACUCAGACAGCAGGAAUUACCCAUACGGAUGGACUAUCACCACAUCAUCUGGAAAGGCCUCAAUACUGAGCAUGUGUCUCUUGAUGUUCCAUUUCCGUGGAAUCGAUGAGAGGGAUUGGACAUACUGACUCUGCAGUACCAGUCAUCUUUUGUGUCCCUCUGCUUCCUAUGGGACUUUCAGGCAUGGACACUGCAUCCCACCUGCCCAUGAUAUCCUCAGUGUGCUAGAUCAUAGCAAGGCUUACUGAUAAGAGGAAAAUAUGACACUAAAUCGUCUAAUUCUUGAUCGAGGGCAGUUAAACUCACAACUGGCAGCUGCCAUCAUAUCACACUGUGAAUACAAAGGUCGCAGAGAGUCUGAGCAACACUUAAGGUCACUUGUCCUUGAACAAUUUAUAACGUGGACCCCACACUAGAGGACUGUGUGGAGGUUAUUGGUGUAGUGCUCAUGCAGAGGGCAUGGCAAACAAGGCAGCAGAAACGGAGAAUCUGUGUCCUGGCUUUAGAACAUCUCCUGGCAGAUGUGCUGCUCCCAUGAGAAGCAGUAAGAUGGGUGUGGAGAGAGAGUGGUGUACUUCCAUACCACAGCUUUCAGGUCUUCCUGGGCUGACAAGAGCACUCCUACUGCCAGCAGGCAAAAAGCAGGAGGAGAUUUGGAAAUGGAGCUUCGGUAGUUUGUUCCGCUCAUUACACCCAGUUCUUUCCAGUCAGUUGGUUAUCCAUUAGCUUGGGAAGUACAAAAAUCACCUGGAGGUAUCACAGCUCUUUUAGGGCAUAUUUAGAAGAUGUAUCUCCCUGUUGUUCUCUCCUUCCAUUUGUCAUCUUUCUCAUUACAGAGGAGCUUAUUCGCUAGCCACUUUGCCAACUCUAGGAUUUAUAGCAGCUGAAGAGAGUACUUUAGGCAGGGAGGAGUGACUGCAUUGACCUCAAACUCCCAGAACUCUCCAAGAAGUCAGUGUAUUAAAGAUAAUGAUGUACCAAGGCGAUAAAAUGUAGAGGCAAUAAAAAUGUUAUACAGAUGUUAAUGCAUACAAGCAAAAUACACAAUAUGAAAAUGGAAAAAGCCCUAAAUAACUACUGGACAUUUUACAUUGUCUUAAAUACACUUCUGCAGCACCUGUGUGGUUCAGUGGCACAAUUUGUCAUGCAAAUCAUGUUGCUUGCCAGAUAAACCAAAUCUUUCUGACAUCCCCAGUCUCAUUUGUGGGACACUGGUGACAAACUUCAAAACUAGGGUGUGGGAGAAAAGUGGAGAAGGGAAACUGAGACCAGCUUAGAAUAUUUUAUUUAAUUUAUAGUGCCUUGAAUUCCUUUUCCUUCUUUUUCCAGUAAUGGAAGAAAGAAAACUCUCCAGUUCUCUGAAGCUACAGCUCUUGAUCUAUGGCCUUUACUUUGGAAAGCACUUAUGUAUGCUUCCAAGUAUUCUUUUCCUUUUUUAAUAGAUGGGACUUAAGCGGAUGUUUAAGUAGUUUGUUUUUGCACUGGUAGUCUUACAAACUAAUAGCUAAUGUUAUGGGUUAAUAUUAUAGCUAUGCUGAAGGGCUGCUGCUGCCUGAGCCCCAGCAAAUGGAAGAUAUGAAGGGAACCAGGAUGUGCAGAAAUGCCUACUCCUGUUGGAAAUAACUUUGUCUUUGCCAAAAAGGGGAGAAUGUGUGAGAAAAGGCUUAUGAUUUCAGCCAGCCUUACUUUUCAAUGUACUGCACAAAAAAGCACAACAAACCUUCCAUAAAUUAUCAGUUCUUUCCAGUUUUAUUAAACAUAGAGAACCUGUGAUCCUCUUUGUUAAUUCUCUGUGCUGUGUACAGCUAACCCUUUAGUUGUCCUUCACACAUAUUUUGAGAAUAAAAAUUCCUGCAGCUGGAAUACGUCGUAUUGACCAUGUUUUUUGUCCAACAAAGGCUGGAGGAACAUAGAGUUCAAAUGAAUACAUAACGUUUUGUUAAGUUUUUGGCAACUUUACAUGGACAGACUUUAACAAAUGACAAAUUGUGCUUGUCAGCAUAGCAAACUUUGUGCUUCUUAUCAUGUACAGUAUUUCUGAAAAUGGCCAAGAGCAUAACUAUAAAGUGUGUCUGUGUUGUGUAUAGGGUUCUUUGGGAGUAUUAAAAACACAGUGCUCAUGAAUGUAGUUGUUAAUGCUUAAGCUGUAUCUGUUAGUGUGCAAAACCAUAUUUCCUGGUCUAGUAGUAUCUGUGUAAGGAUAGAGGAGUUGCCUGGCACAGUGGAGAUCAGCCUAGUAGGGUGGUGCGAGGCUGGUGGGCAUGGACUGGCACCCUACCAAAUCUUCUGCCUCUGCUGUUGUUGCACACAACACAACUCUGCCCUCUGUAGCUGAUGGCACGUCUGUAUGUGAGCUACCAGGUGUCAGAGCUUCAAAAUGCUGUACAAGAAGAAGAUAAUAAUCUCAAAGGCUAAAAGAGGGCCCAUCUGUUGUCAAUGGGUGUGCCGAGCUCUUUUGCAGCCUUCCGUCUUCCAGAGGACAAAUUACUUUGUUAACUGUUUGCAGCCACCUUAACUCACCUUUUAAAGGAAGAUUUAAAGCUUUUUUAGUUUAACUUUGUAAAAGUUUUUUUUUUUCUUUGUAAUGUCUUUUUAUGAAUCUUAGAAAAGAAAAAACACUGUUUUGGACUUCAUUUUCUUUACCCUGUGUUGGCUGGUAUUUUGCUUUCACUGGUUUUUGUUUCUUUGGAGUUGACAGUGAGGGCACUGGUGUUCCAGUUUAGAAGUACACCUUGUUACCGAAAUGAUGCUGAUCCGCUACAAAAAUGCAGUUAACAUUUUAUAAACAAACAUUUCCCAAUCAUCAUUUUUCUCUGUGAUUUCACAAUGACAAAGCAUGAGGGUAAACAUAAUAUUAAAAUGGGAAUCAUGAUACUCAUGUCAGUGCAACUGUAAAAGCCUAAUCAGUGAUCUCAAAGUCCUUGAAUUUUAAAUACUAUUAUGAUAUGAUUAUUUUUUGCAACACUAAACAGUUAAAUUUUAUACUUAAACACCAUAUCUUCUUUCACUAGCACAUAAUCUACCAGUCAUAUGUUUUAUGAUGAUGUGAGCAUGUAUCUUACCAGCAAAUGUUCUGGCCAACAAUAGCAUCGUUUUUUCAUAAGUAGGAGGAAAAAUAUUUUAAAAAUAGCUUGAGAUAAACCCAACCAGCAGUAAAAGUCUGAUUGUUAAUGCAGAAGAAAUAUGCAAAAAGUAGAAAAAUGAGUUUUCUCAAUAUAUCCUUUGUGAACACCAAACCGUAAAAUAUCACUAGUUUAUCAACAGUACUAAAUAGUGAUUUUUUAAAAAAUGAAAUAGAAAAAAAAACACUAAAAUACACAGAAAGGUUUACAGAACAAAAUUACGUUAUUUUGUUAGUCAAGAUUGAUAUUCUUUAAUUUCUUUAAGUAGGAAAAAAAGACAAGUUAAUGAUAUAUGAGGCCUACACUAAUAAGCUGGAGAUAAACCGAAAUUUUAAUGCAUAGUCCUGCUGUUCGAACAACACUAAAUGUUCUUCUCUCAUAGUUUAACAGAAAAUGGUUGAUUUUUGGUCUUACUUUCAUGUAAUGUAUGUAUUUAAUGAUGAAAAAUACAGUGUUCAUAACCAUUGACUACAUACCUAUAAACUCAAUUAGCUGUGUAGCUUCAUUCUUUGGGAGUCAGAAGGUGUCCCAGGCUAUAUAAUCUGUUGAAUUGACCCGCUUCAGCAAUACAGAAUUGCUAUCGCUGCUUUGACAAUGAAAGAAAAAUACAGUCCUACUUUAACAGUUCUGAAAAUAUCUUGCUUCCAAUGGAAAUCUUAAGGACUGAUAGGUGAGGAAGCACAGUAUAAUUCUGUGAUUAAAAUACUCAGAGGACAUGAAUGGAGACUAUCCUUACUCCUGAUUUUUAUUGUUAUUUAAACAUUGACAACUUACAAAUUUGGGAAUACAAUUAUUUGUUUCAUCAGAAUCCCAUUCCAAAGGAGAACAAUUUUAGAGAAUUGAAUCAUCUUUAAAAUUUGUUAUUCAUUUAGUUAUUGUUAAUAUUAGACAAACUAAUUACAUUGACAGCCCAUGGAAAGAGAUACUCAGGAUGUUGUUAUACUAUGUAUAAUAGUAAAAUUGUAAAAUUUUUA
ensembl:lncRNA